rnacentral:rRNA from 1 species
GACGAACGCUGGCGGCGUGGAUUAGGCAUGCAAGUCGAACGGUAUCAUCCUUUCGGGGGUGAGAGAGUGGCGAACUGGUGAGUAACACGUAGGUUAUCUACCCUCAAGACGGGGACAACCCAGGGAAACUUGGGCUAAUACCGGAUGUGAGCAACUUUUAGUUGUUUGAAAGGUGGCGUAAGCUGUCGCUUGGGGAUGAGCCUGCGUCCUAUUAGUUAGUUGGUGAGGUAACGGCUCACCUAGGCAAUGAUAGGUAGGCGGCCUUAACGGGUGGUCGCCCACACUGGGAUUGAGAUACGGCCCAGACUCCUGCGGGAGGCAGCAGUCGAGAAUAGUCUACAAUGGUCGGAAGACUGAUAGUGCGACGCCGCGUGAACGAUGAAUCCCUUCGGGGUGUAAAGUUCUUUUAUAUGUGAGCAGUGCUUCUUAUAUUAACAGUAUGGGGAGAGAGAUAUUAGCAUAUGAAUAAGCAACGGCUAACUCCGUGCCAGCAGCCGCGGUAAA